rnacentral:rRNA from 1 species
UUUUAUGGAGAGUUUGAUCCUGGCUCAGGAUGAACGCUGGCGGCGUGCCUAAUACAUGCAAGUCGAGCGAACGGACGAGAAGCUUGCUUCUCUGAUGUUAGCGGCGGACGGGUGAGUAACACGUGGAUAACCUACCUAUAAGACUGGGAUAACUUCGGGAAACCGGAGCUAAUACCGGAUAAUAUUUUGAACCGCAUGGUUCAAAAGUGAAAGACGGUCUUGCUGUCACUUAUAGAUGGAUCCGCGCUGCAUUAGCUAGUUGGUAAGGUAACGGCUUACCAAGGCAACGAUGCCUA